CCUGGCUCAGGACGAACGCUGGCGGCGUGCCUAACACAUGCAAGUCGAGCGGGGUUGUGGCAGUUAGCUUGCUAACAGCCACUAACCUAGCGGCGGAUGGGUGAGUAACGCGUGAGCAACCUACCCUGUACAGGGGGAUAACAUCGGGAAACCGAUGCUAAUACCCCAUGACACCGCACCGUUGCAUGACGGAGCGGUCAAAGGGCAUUACCGGUACAGGAUGGGCUCGCGUCCCAUUAGCUGGUUGGUGAGGUAACGGCUCACCAAGGCGACGAUGGGUAGCCGACCUGAGAGGGUGACCGGCCACACUGGGACUGAGACACGGCCCAGACUCCUACGGGAGGCAGCAGUGGGGAAUAUUGCGCAAUGGGGGGAACCCUGACGCAGCAACGCCGCGUGAGCGAGGAAGGCCUUCGGGUCGUAAAGCUCUGUCAUUAGGGACGAAGUAAGUGACGGUACCUAAGGAGGAAGCCCCGGCUAACUACGUGCCAGCAGCCGCGGUAAUACGUAGGGGGCGAGCGUUGUCCGGAAUUACUGGGCGUAAAGGGCGUGUAGGCGGCCGGUUAAGUCAGAUGUGAAAUGCCUCGGCUUAACCGAGGCAUUGCAUUUGAAACUGGCCGGCUUGAGUGCAGGAGAGGAAAGUGGAAUUCCUAGUGUAGCGGUGAAAUGCGUAGAUAUUAGGAGGAACACCAGUGGCGAAGGCGACUUUCUGGACUGCAACUGACGCUGAGGCGCGAAAGCGUGGGUAGCGAACAGGAUUAGAUACCCUGGUAGUCCACGCCGUAAACGAUGGAUACUAGGUGUAGGGGGUGCUUAUACCUUCUGUGCCGUAGUAAACGCACUAAGUAUCCCGCCUGGGGAGUACGGCCGCAAGGCUGAAACUCAAAGGAAUUGACGGGGGCCCGCACAAGCAGCGGAGCAUGUGGUUUAAUUCGAAGCAACGCGAAGAACCUUACCAGGGCUUGACAUCGCCUGAAGCUGGUAGAAAUACCGGUGUCCCCUUUUUGGGGCAGGCAGACAGGUGGUGCAUGGUUGUCGUCAGCUCGUGUCGUGAGAUGUUGGGUUAAGUCCCGCAACGAGCGCAACCCCUGUCUUUAGUUGCUAACAGGCAAGCUGAGCACUCUAAAGAGACUGCCGGAGACAAUUCGGAGGAAGGUGGGGACGACGUCAAAUCAUCAUGCCCCUUAUGCCCUGGGCUACACACGUGCUACAAUGGCCUCUAACAGCGGGAAGCGAAGGGGUAACCCGGAGCCAAUCCCUUAAACGGGGUCCCAGUUCGGAUUGUGGGCUGCAACUCGCCCACAUGAAGCCGGAGUUGCUAGUAAUCGCGAAUCAGCAUGUCGCGGUGAAUGCGUUCCCGGGCCUUGUACACACCGCCCGUCACACCAUGGGAGUCGGUGGCGCCCGAAGCCAGUGACCCAACCGCAAGGAGGGAGCUGUCGAAGGUGAAACCGAUGACUGGGGUGAAGUCGUAACAAGGUAACC
rnacentral:rRNA from 1 species